AAAAAAAAAAAAAAAAAUUGUUGCAGAGUGUACUAGUAGAAAAUAUUCAGUGUUUUUGAGAUAGGACUACAUAUAGCCUUUACAACACAAAAACCAAAUCAGAAUAUCAGUUUUCCACUCCAAAUAGUCAAAUAUAUUGACAGAACACUGCUACCAUAAAUGACAAGUGCCUGGAUAAUACAAGAAACUAGAUUGGAAGCAGCAUCUUUUGAGAGGGAUGACUGGAAGCUACUUCACCAUGUCCACGUGAGCAAAAUUAUGGCAUAAAUCCUUACAACCCACCCCAGCUGCUAGUACAUGUUUCCAUUUCUCCACCCUGAUCAUGUCUUCUAAGAAGCCUCACACCUGCAUUUCACAACUCUAGCACCUAAUUUCAUAUGAACCGGCUUUGGUAAUAUAGCGCACCCACUCAACGGUAUUGUACCCGCUCUUCUCCCAGACCUGUAGAAAGUUGGUAAGGGUGAAGCUGCUUUCAAAAACAUUGGCAUGGGCAUUCUGACUAGUUCAGCAUACAUACCUUAAGAAACCGAACGCGUAAACCAGAUGCUGUAAACAUGGGAACCUGCAGGAACAAGGGUUCAGAUUGAAUCACUAUUCUCCCCUGUUAAGAGACUGUAUUAUCACAUGGCAUGAGAUUGGAAAUAUAUAUUUUUUUUUAUUAGAAACAACAGUAUGGUAUAUUGAAGUAAGUAAAAUAAGCACAAAAAAGGAUGAAAGAUCCUCAAAAAAGUACACAAAAUAAAGCAAGAACCUCCAAUUUUAAGAAUCUAUACAGCUAUGAGGUUCUACAACCUAUGUCCCAUGUGGGAAUAUACAAAAAUAAUCUAUCCUAGCUAGCCCACUCCCUUGGAAUUACACAGCAACAUCCAAUCAAGUUGGAUCGAAUUAAGGGGAACACCCUUAAAAGUUGUGUAACAAGAUGCCCAAAAGGAGGCUAGUUAAAAAAUCAUGACCCAAGACCCACUGAAGAUCCUGCCUUAUCCUCAAAGAUCCUAGCAUUUCUCUCCAGCCACACUAUCCACAUCAGAGCAAGACAAACAAGCCUCCACAACACCUUGCCUGUAUUGGUGUUUCCCAAUCCUCUAUAUGAAACGCUCAUUAUGUUGCACAUACUCCUAGGAGGAACCCAAUCCACAUGAACUAAGCUGAAUAGUCUAUGCCAUAGCCCCAAACUCAAUGGGGCAAUGUAAAAAGAUGUGAUCUACCAUUUUGCCACUCUCCUUACACAAAAGACAAACAUUAGGACUGAGGGUUUUGUAGGAUCUGCUCAAUUGUAGCAUGUCAUUGGUGUUUAUCUUCAUGAGUAUCUAAACAUACAUGUUAACGAUACCAUGAAUUUUAGAUUUAGUGGUGGUUAGGAGUUAAGAGUAACAACAGGAUGUCAUAUAAUCUUGGUGUCAGUCUAUUAUCAACAAUAGGUUACACUCGAUGAAAGUAUAGAAACUAUUUAUCAGCUACAUAAUGGAAAUAUGCAGAACAAUCAGAUAAAAAAAUUAUGAGAUAGAAGGCUGCAAAUGCGAAGAAAAUAAGAAACAACAUAAUUAAUUAAAAAAAAUAUACUUGUCCAAUUGAUAAACCUUCCUUUUUGUUAAAGUGGGGAAUCAGAGACCAGAUAGGCAUCUAUAGGUUUGAUGUGUAAAAGUGGAUUUGCCCAAAAGAAGACAAAACAAGCACUAUCAUUCGAAGAGAAUAAUAGUUAAAGAGAACCAAAUACAAACUAUUGUUUCAGACAUGAAUCAAUAUACUUGAGAUUCCUCCCAAGUUCAUAUUGGGUUUGAACCCACGGAGGCACUAUUGCUUUUUAUCGUUCCUAGUUCCCAACCCCCCAAAUGAAAGGAAAUCCCAUGACUACAGGAAUUUCCUAUUUUCAUUAGAUUGGUUAAUAUUUUCUGUUUAGAUCAAUUACUAAAAAAAAUGGAAGAAUAAUAAAAAAGCAGCACCCUGCUGCUUACUACAAUUACCAGUAGAAUUUUCCUGAAGAAAAGUUUCUUAUCCGACCCACAAAGAGCCAUCACACAGAUGUUAAAAUAGAAACAUCUGAAAAACGGAACCCAAAUUUUUAACUGCUUCUACUUUUAUGAUUCCUGAAUUCUGGCAUUAACCUCAUCAGAAUGCAUUAUAGUAGAAAAACAUUAUCAUAUAAAGCCACUCUGAUGUACAGAAAAAUAUUUUUUUAGGUACCUGGAAUUCCAUCUGAAUCGGUGGCCUGGUCCAAGACUUCUUUUCUGCCAUCGUGGAAAUCAACUCUACUUCUGCACUCAUUGUUGGCUCAGUUUGUCCAGGAAACUUUCUUAUCCUACAAAGUUAAAAAGAAAAUUACACACAUAAAUUAGCUAUUAACCCCCCUUCUGAAAUGUGACAUUUAAAAGAAGAUUUUAUUUUGUUUUUUAUUUUGGAUAAAUAUGACAUUUAAAAGAAGACGGACAAUAUUGGAGUGUACAAGAUAAAGAAGAAAUGGAAUUAAGGUGAUAAACAUUUCAUAGAUUAACAUCUGUUGUACUCACUUCCAGAUCAAACAAUCAGUAGCAGCAUUAUACUUUGCUCGACCUGAUGUAACUUGGAAACUCGUUUUUGCUGUCUGCUUUGGUACUGGAAUCUUAAUAACAACUCCAAGAGCAAACAUUUUUGCGCCAAAUACACUCUUGACCUGAAGAUUGGGUCAAUAAGAUAAUUGCACGAUCUUGAAUAUCAUAUCAUUUAAAAUGUGAAUUACAAACCUUGACAUUCACUUCCAUGCGUGUCCGACCCAGUUCCUUAAUUGUUGGCAAUACUCGGAAUGGAAGAUUUACACCCUCAGUGAUACGAUACCUAUGGAAAAUAUAAUUGUAAAGGUGGAGGUAAAAAAAUUAAACAAGGAUCUUCAUUCUGGAACCAUUAACCAACUACAACACCCCAUCUGGUAUCUCUUUAAGAAUGUUAUGACCAAAAAUUUAUCCAAAAUAAGCAUCGUCAAGGAUCUCAUUGUAAAAAGGAAAGUAUACCAUAUUCCUUAGCAUUCUAAAAUUUGCCUACAGCUGGGAUGGUGUAUCCAGAUGCCAACUUUUACAGUAAUGUUCAACACAGAAGGAAAAUUAUGGAAAACCAAUCAAGAUGUCAUUAAUACUUCAUCACUACUAAUUUACAAGGCAAUACAUAAUAAAAAGAGGUUGAACGCAUGAGUAAACAAGAGAAAAUUUUGAGCUUACUUCAUCAAUUCAAAUUCACCAUCUGGUGGCACAAAACUGACGGUCUUUUCUGAGUUAAACCUCGUCAAAUUUACGCACUGGUGGAAAGUAACAUCAUCAAGCUCAAUGGUUUUGCCACUGUAAAAGGUAGCAUUAUCAGAGACUAAGUUAUCAAAUCAACCAACAUCACAGCCUAAAACAAGCCAUUUGAAAUAAAUAUGUGAUAAACAAAACUGUAAUGCCCAAUAUACUGCAGUAACAAAUGAAAUAAAAGCACAUUCCACAUGUCAGUGAGAAAUAAUAAUUUCAACUAGAAAAGUUAUGUUAAAAGAAAUAUCACCAACAAAAACUUCCCAAAACAAAACAGGAACAACAUUAACUAUCAUAAUUAGGAACCUCAUACUGAAUCCAAACUUCAAAGUGUACUUUCCAGGAAUGGAAACAUUUAAGGAUUGUGAAAUAUGUCCUUCUAUGCAUCUAGGAAGGCUUACAAAGAACCAAUCUGGAUUAGAUUAAGAAUAGAAGUCAGACCGAACCACAUGAAAUUGGUUGCAGAUGACGAAUGCAGGGAGAAAGUGAGCAAUUGGGAUAUAAUGAUAAUCUUAAAGCUGAGGGUAAUGAAACUUAAACUAGAGGAAAAGAAAAGAAAACAGGAAAAUUUUAAAUAAGACACAAUUUACAGAAACAGAGAGGAUAAUAACCUUGCUUCGAAAUACUUGAAGUAGCAAAAUAUAAACCAACAAAUCCUUUGCCCCCUUCCUCUCCUCUCUAGCACCCUAAUCUUUUUUAAUGAAUAAAGCCGGUUCCACAAUUGGCAAAGAAGUCCUAUUUUAAAUAUGUUAACAUUAGUUAAAGCCUUCCAGAAGUGGAUCCUCCAAAUUGAUAAAAUUAAAGUUCCCACACAGUAAACAACAUUUUGAUACAACUAAUUUCUGGCAUACAGGUUUGAUAAAGCAUUUCUUCAAGCCAAAUUCUAGUGUGCAUGUUGAGGAGGGGAAAAAGAAGGAAAAAAGACACUAGAAACACAAGCUCAUAUAAAAUUUCAUAUUAUUAUGUCAAGAGCAAACUUAUGCAAGCAGAACCAUUAAAGAGAAAUCAAAUUUCCGAAGGAGACACAAAUAUUGAGCUAACAACUGGCAAAAGAAAAAAAAAAAAAAGAACUAUGAAGAAUAAGAUAGGUGUGCCUCAAAAAGUUACCUUUUAGCAGGACGGGAUUUAAGUUGGGACUCUUUCUCAAGGCCAAUUUUAUCAUUUAAACCCAACUUCAAAUCAGGCAUUCCAGAGAGGAAGCAUUUCAUUAGAAUUUUUCCAGUUACAUCACAGCGUAGAACGCUACCUACAAUCACCAAAUUUUACUAAGUAAGCAAACAGAAAUGCAUUGCACAAAAUAUUUCCAAGAACAGCAUUCACCUUUGGAAGACAUUAGAAGAUUAACACUUUCCACAAUAUCCAGAAACACCUGUAAUGAACAGAUGUCAAAAAUCCAUCAGAAUGACCAAAAUCACCAUGGAAAAUUGCAGAAAAAGAAAAGGAUAAAUCACCUCAUUCUUUUUAUAAACAAGGCCCUCUCUCCUCCAACCAACAGCACCUGUAACUUGUAAAGUUGCAUUGGGGACUGGUUUAUCUGAAGGCUAUUUAUAUUUUGGCACAUUAAAGAAAAAUAGUAUUAAGGAAUCUUCAAUAAAAAAUUCACUUUAAUAUAAAGGAAUCUUCAUUUUAAUAAUGUAUACUUAAAAUAUAAACCAUUAAGUACAACUUAGAAAUCCACGGUAAUGCCUCAUCUGCUCAAAUUACUAGAUUCCAAAAUGUAUAGCUAAAAUAAACAUCUAACCUUGGAUGAGAAUGGAGACCGAACUCCUUCUUGGGUGAUGUAGAGCUUCAAAAUUUCUGGAGAAAGAUUUUGUGGAUAACCAAAGUCCAUGAUUUCUGCAAGUUCAGAGUAUCAAACACUCAUCCAUUUACAUAAUGAUUACAAUGCUGCAUGAAUAUAGUGCACCCUUUCAUUUGUUACAUGGUGAUUAAUACAGAAAGUUCUCCAUGAAGUUGAAUACACACAUAUUUAUAGAUAGAUUAGAUUAGACAGAACAUAUAAAGACAAACAACAAGCAGAUGGUCCAAAAAUGCAGACAAUUUAUCCCAGAAAAUUAAAAAGUCUAGACUCUAGAACAAACAAUCUGUAUGUGGCACCAAGCGCAAAUAAGUGUAACCAAUUUAUUUGUAAAGAACACAAUACAAAAAGGAAGAUCUAACCAAAAAACCGAGAGAUAUAAUAACAACUACUCAACUCUCCCCCAGUCUUUAUGCAACUUCCACUCUCUCUCUCUCUCUCUCUCUCUCUAUGUUCCAUUAGUAAAAAAAAUAAAAAUAAAAAUAAAAAAAAUAAAAAACUACAGCAUGGACCUUAAAUACUAACCAGCUAGAGUAGGAUUCCCUUGGAGAAUUAAAUAAAACACUGCAUUAGCAACAUCUCAACAAAUAAAUGAAGGGUAAAUCAAUCAAAGAUUCACAGCUCAGGAAAUGAUAAAUCCAACAAUUUUAAUUAGAAAAUCUCAGCCUAGACUUGAACCUAGAAAGUGGCACAUCCUACAAGUCUACAUUAGAUUUUACCAGCUUGAUGGUGUCCUAUCUAGUGUGCCAUAUGGGUCAAUUAACAAUCUCCAUGUGCCACCACAUGACAAGUGAGUCCUAAGAAGUAUGGAAAGAUAUUUGAGGGACACAUCCAUGCCAAACAAACAUCCUGGAGCCCACUAGAAUGCCACCAUGUUUCUUUUCAUAUCUCCAUGGCUUCUCCUUCCUAUGCGAAGGGAUGGUAGAGGCACCCUAGUAUAGACAUUUAACCCUUGGGCGAGAUGCAGAUGCUCACCUGGCAUGAAUGCCAAGAAAAACAUCCAAUCACUUUACUCCUUCAGGAUGAAAAGGCUAGCUCAAUGCCCAGGCACAGCUUUCUCCUUAAGAUCAAAACAGAGAAGUCACUAGCCUGGCUGCCCCUACCCUUUGUCGAGGGCCUGAUUCAAUAAGGGGAGCUUAUACAUCACUAGCUGAUCUUCAAAUCAAAGGACCUAGAUCCCUCCCCAUGCACAAUUCUUUAAGAUGCCCUCUAAGCACAGAACCCUGAAACUGAUACUUCCAUCCAACUCAGAGAUGGGGGAAUCUGACACAAACUCAAUGCACCUUAUGGUGGGCCUGAUCUUCCCACCACCAAGAACUUAGAGAUAAGUUGAGUCUUAAUUUGCAGCUAGAACAAGUAGUUCACCAAUGCAGGAAUGGAUCACAUGCUGAAACUGUUUCAGCCAGUUUGGGGAAAAAAAAAAGCAUGGAUGCCCAUGUCCAGGGUAGACAUGUAAGAACCAGCAGACUUAUUAUCUUAUCAGUGAUAAUUAUCCACAGGACACUCUAACUCCUCAUAAGAGAAAUUCCUAUGAAAAAUAAAGUUACUUGAUAGGAAUAUUGUUCUAGAACACCAUUGUUCAUGAUUCCCAACAAAUCUCACUCUUCCUUGUUGCAAGAUUCUCCUUGAGUUUAGUACCACAUUCUUUAAACCCUCUCUCUCCUCUUUGUUAGACUCCGACAUCUUACCAUCACAGUGAUCGACCUCCUCUCUUCCUAAGAACCAACAACAAGCAUAACUUACUAUCUCCUAGCAUACAGCUACCAAGUAGUAUCCUAUGGAUUAUGGCAUUGAUACAGACGAUCAAUGUUGACACAAUGGACAUUCAGAAAGCCACAUUGGUGAGGUUGUUAGCACCUUCGAGGAAGAGGCCCUUUCUCUAGUGAUUUAAAGAUGAAGGUGGAAGCAGAUUUGGAUGCAGACUUGCCAUGGGUUACUAAAGGGAGUAAAGCUACUAGCAGUAUGGUCUCCAGUGAGUCUGAUUAAAUUAAACCUUUUAAGGAUGCACUCUAGACAACCUAGGUCAUCUAGGAAAUGGAGGUACCAUUAGCAUAGUCGUUAAAAACUUAUGAUAUACGAUACGGUCCAAGGAUACGAUACAUUUUUUAUGAGAAUCUAUAUGUAUCAAAAUUUGUAUCAUAUCUUAAGCAUAUCUUAAGAUACAUAUACAAUACACAAUGUUGUACUUUGGGGCACCUUGGUGUUUUUUGUUUAUGACAUUCCCUUGCGUUACUCAUCAAAUAUCUAUCUAUCUAUCUAUCUAUCUAUAUAUAUAUAUAUAUAGACACACACACACAUUUCAUAAUACAAUACAAGAUACAACAAUACAAGAAUGCAUACACAUUUAACUUUUUUCAUAAUUUGUAAGAAAAUCAAAUUCAAAAAUUUUCUUUCUUAAAAGAAUUAUUGCAUCAAUUAUUUAAAAUAUACAAUAAGGCUAUAAAUUAAUUAUAAAAGGGAUGGAGAGGUAAAAUAAUUAUAUAUGAAAAGCUACAUUCAUGUUAUUAAAGGUCAUGUUGGAAGUUAUGUAAAUUUAUUCUUACAAUGAAUAUUGGAGAAGUUCCAUUUGAAUGAUUUGAAUUUUGACAUUGAAAAUGAUAGUUAUUGGUGACUAAAAACUUUUACUUAAAUAUUAGUUUUUCAAGUAUAAAAAGUUGGAAGCUUGGCGAUGAUAUAUAAAGACAUAUAAAUCAACAAAACUUAUAAGAACAUAUGUGUAAUAAAUUUAGAGCUAAAAAUUAUAUCUAAAAAAUUUAAAAGUUAUUUUUGUGAAUUUUGUGAUGAUAUAUAAAACUCAUAAAUUGUUAGAUUAAACUUUUCAAAAAUCUAGUAUUCAAUGUUUUCAUAUGGUAUGUUAUGGUUUAAAAUCCUUAAAUCCUACUAUCUUUCAUGAGACUAGUUAUAGGUCAUUUUAUACUUCAUGCUUCCAAUAUUUAUGUACAUGUAUGCGUAUUUUUUGUAUUUAAUUUUCCACUAUAUAAAAACUUACUAUUUUUUAUAUGAUACAAUACACGACACAAAAAAUAAAGAAAUGAUACAUGAUUUUUUUUUUUUUGAUCAAUAAGUAUAAGAUUGUAUUGCAAAGAGGCGCUAAAGAAGCGACCCACCAAAUUACAGUAUAAAGGGACUUACCCCCUUACAAAAGAGCCCAAACAUCAAAGGACAAGGCAAAACAAAAAAAAAAAAAAACCUCUCCCUUAACGCAUACACAUCCAAUCUAUAAAAUCUAUUAAGGUCGAAGGACCAUCUUUUAUCCACAAUUUGGAUUCCGACCACAAAAAAUACACAAAAGAUGCUUUCAACUUUUGAAUGGACAGCUCACAAUCCUCAAAGGCAAUUGAAUUUCUAGCCUUCCAAAUAACCCAAAACAAGCAUAACGGUCCCAAUUGCCACACCACCUUCCUUUUCUUUCCCACAAAGGACCCCCUCCAUCCUACAAGGGUUUCCUUGACCGAACGGGGGAACACCCACGAAACACCAAAAAAGGAAAGGAACACCAUCCAUACUUCCCUCGUUUUUUCACAAUGGAUAAGAAGGUGAUCAAUUGUCUCCUCACUCUUAUGGCAAAGAAAACACCUAUUUGCCAUAACCCAAC
rnacentral:lncRNA from 1 species